rnacentral:rRNA from 1 species
GUGCAGCAGUCGAGAAUCCUCCGCAAUGCGGGAAACCGCGACGGGGGACCCCGAGUGCCGUGGCAACGCCACGGCUUUUCCGGAGUGUAAAAAGCUCCGGGAAUAAGGGCUGGGCAAGGCCGGUGGGCAGCCGCCGCGGUAAUACCGGCGGCCCGAGUGGUGGCCGCUAUUAUUGGGCCCAAAGCGUCCGUAGCCGGGCCCGUAAGUCCCUGGCGGAAAUCCCACGGCUCAACCGUGGGGCUUGCUGGGGAUACUGCGGGUCUUGGGACC